AGUGAGCGGGAUGAGCUCAAAUUUAAAAUCUGGCUGGUUUACUAGUCCGAAUUGUAGUUUAAAGAAGCGUUUUCGGUGGCAGCCUGGGUAUAAAUCCUUUGGAACAGGGUAUCAUAGAGGGUGAGAAUCCCGUCUUUGACUCAGUGCAUGCUACUAUGUGAUACGUUUUCAAAGAGUCGAGUUGUUUGGGAAUGCAGCUCAAAAUGGGUGGUAAAUUUCAUCUAAAGCUAAAUAUUGGCGAGAGACCGAUAGCGAACAAGUACCGUGAGGGAAAGAUGAAAAGAACUUUGAAAAGAGAGUUAAACAGUGCGUGAAAUUGUUGAAAGGGAAACGCUUGACACCAGUCAUGCGAGCGGAAAAUCAGUCUUUUGCAGUGGGGAGUGUGUGUGGGUUCGGACCGCAAGGCCGGCCUGCGCUUCAUCUCUGCUGUAAGUGAUGCACUUUUUCGUUUGCAGGCCAACAUCAGUUUCUUCUGCUGGACAAAACUCUUGAGAAGGUAGCAGCUUAGGCUGUGUUAUAGCUCUUGAGCGAUACAGUGGAGGAGACUGAGGUUUUCGCAGCGCGUGCUUUCGGGCAAGGCUGAUUGGGUGCUAUGGGAUCGUUCGGUGUACAAUGCAUGCAUUUUGCGCCGUGUCUUUUCUAUACUCGCUCAACCGGCUCUUCCGCGCUUAGGAUGUUGGCUUAAUGGUUUUAAUCGACCCGUCUUG
rnacentral:rRNA from 1 species